rnacentral:rRNA from 1 species
UACGUAGGGUGCAAGCGUUGUCCGGAAUUAUUGGGCGUAAAGAGCUCGUAGGCGGUUUGUUGCGUCGGCUGUGAAAACCUGAGGCUCAACCUCAGGCCUGCAGUCGAUACGGGCAGGCUAGAGUUCGGCAGGGGGAGACUGGAAUUCCUGGUGUAGCGGUGAAAAUGCGCAGAUAUCAGGAGGAACACCGGUGGCGAAGGCGGGUCUCUGGGCCGAUACUGACACUGAGGAGCGAAAAGCGUGGGGGAGCGAAACAGG